GACGCCGUUUUGGGGGCCACUGAAACAGGCUCUAAACGACGUCGUUUUACGACCUAUAUAUGCAUAAUUUUGAAACCCUAAAAUCAUUUUCCCUCAGCCCCUCUUCUGGUGCGCCGCAAAUUCUCUCAAAGUCCCCUUCUCUGCCGCUCCAACUCCGACCAGACAACGGCGAAAAGAAGCCUUCAAUCGCCUCCAAAAAACGGUGGAAUCGGCAUUAUGCGGAGUUGCUGAUCGUGGGUGAAGCGACGUGGGUGAAGCGACGUGGGUGAUGGGUAGUUGCUGCAACGUGGGAACGUGCGGCGCUGAGGCUACCUGCUGCUUUAGGGCUUCUGUUACCUUAGGCCAAUUGGGCCUUGUAAUUGGGUUAGGUUGUAAUUUGGGCUUUGGGUCAGUUUUAGUGAGUAUAGUUGGGCCCCGGGCACUAAUUGGGUAUUACACAAGUCAUAUUGAUGCACUUAAUGAGUCCCAUACUUAACAUAAUUCGACAUUCAGGAAGGAAGAGUCUAUAAGUUGAAAGAUAAAAGAGCACAUCUUAAACCAACCCCCCCCGCUCUUUCUAUCUAUACAUAUAGUUAAUAGUCAUGUAGAAAGCAAUGUGGGUGUUUUGUGUAAAAUCAUCAUUUCAUUCCCAA